rnacentral:rRNA from 1 species
AGAGUUUGAUCCUGGCUCAGAACGAACGCUGGCGGCAUGCCUAACACAUGCAAGUCGAACGAACCCUUCGGGGUUAGUGGCGCACGGGUGCGUAACGCGUGGGAAUCUGCCCUUUGGUUCGGAAUAACAGUUAGAAAUGACUGCUAAUACCGGAUGAUGACUUCGGUCCAAAGAUUUAUCGCCAGAGGAUGAGCCCGCGUAGGAUUAGGUAGUUGGUGGGGUAAAGGCCUACCAAGCCGACGAUCCUUAGCUGGUCUGAGAGGAUGAUCAGCCACACUGGGACUGAGACACGGCCCAGACUCCUACGGGAGGCAGCAGUGGGGAAUAUUGGACAAUGGGGGAAACCCUGAUCCAGCAAUGCCGCGUGAGUGAUGAAGGCCUUAGGGUCGUAAAGCUCUUUUACCCGGGAUGAUAAUGACAGUACCGGGAGAAUAAGCUCCGGCUAACUCCGUGCCAGCAGCCGCGGUAAUACGGAGGGAGCUAGCGUUGUUCGGAAUUACUGGGCGUAAAGCGCACGUAGGCGGUUAUUCAAGUCAGAGGUGAAAGCCCGGGGCUCAACCCCGGAACUGCCUUUGAAACUAGAUGACUAGAAUCUUGGAGAGGUCAGUGGAAUUCCGAGUGUAGAGGUGAAAUUCGUAGAUAUUCGGAAGAACACCAGUGGCGAAGGCGACUGACUGGACAAGUAUUGACGCUG